GAUGAACGCUGGCGGCGUGCUUAACACAUGCAAGUCGAACGAAACACCUUAUUUGAUUUUCUUCGGAACUGAAGAUUUGGUGAUUGAGUGGCGGACGGGUGAGUAACGCGUGGGUAACCUGCCCUGUACAGGGGGAUAACAGUCAGAAAUGACUGCUAAUACCGCAUAAGACCACAGCACCGCAUGGUGCAGGGGAAAAAACUGCGGUGGUACAGGAUGGACCAGCCUCUGAUUAGCUGGAUGGUCAGGUAACGGCUCAGCGAGGAGACGAACAGUAGCCGGGAUGAGAAAGUGAACGGCCACCUUAGGACUGAGACACGGACCAAACUCCUACGGGAGGCAGCAGUGGGGAAUAUUGCACGAUGGGUGAAAGCCUGAUGCAGCGACGCCGCGUGAGUGAAGAAGUAUUUCAGUAUGUAAAGCUCUAUCAGAAGGGAAGAAAAUGACGGUACCUGCCUAAGAAGCGCCGGCUAACUACGUG
rnacentral:rRNA from 1 species